UCGGGUAUUUUUUUAAAAUGUCUUUAAGAAUAUUUUUUGUUUGUAUGUCAAAACCCAUGUGACAUUUAGGGAAAAUGUUUUCUAUAACAUUUGAUGGCGGUAUCGACCAUUUUUGUAUGUUUCUUCGGUAGUAAUAAAAAUGAGAGUAUCCUAACACCAGUGUAAUUUGUUCCACGAGUAAUUGUGGGGCCGCGGAUGAACUAAAGCAUACAUUUUCAUCAUUCCCUGACAUUAAAAAUUCUCUAUUGGAAUCCUACAAUAACUCAUUUGAAGAAAUUUAAUUUUCAAAUGAAGCUUCUAAUUUAUCAUUUACAGAUUCUAUUGUUCGCAUACUAUGCAAAAUUCGUGCAGCUUCUUCUUCAUCUGCAAUAUUUCUGUUACUAUUAACUUCUAUUGGAGAAUUUACAGCCAGUUCCACGAUAUCGAAAUAACACGUUCGCACAACUUUUACACGACAAUCAGCUGAUUUCCGUUCCACUAAAAUCCAUCAGAACGAAAAUUUGCACGAAAAUCAAAGCGAACGAAAACGUAAGCGUUUCAGUGUAAUUUUGCGUUCCACUAUCUUUUUUCUUUCGUACGCAUGCGAACACAAAUGUCAAAAUCAAUCACUUGUGUGUUUGCUGUCGUAUGAUAACAAUUAAGGAAAAUUGUUUUAACAUAAACAUUGCUUGAUUUAAAAUGGAAACAAAAAUCACGAAAAAAUCAUCAACUACACAGCUGCGGUCACUAGUUGAGUAUAUGGAGGAGAAUCUGAGUUCGCCAGAGGAGUUCCAAUCUUUGGAAGCAGCAGAAGAAGUUUUAAAUCUGGGCGGAUUUGGGUAGUUCUGCAACCGGGCACCCACUUCUCUUCCAUCAUAUCCAAAAGAGCCCGAAAAACUUCCUUCGACACACGAAAAUUGGCCACAAACCUAGAAAAAAUCAUUUUUUAUUAUUUCGAAAAUGUAAAAAUACAAUAAUACUUACUGGUUGUUAGGUACUUCAAAUAAAUUCGAAGCAUCUCUUAAAUGCCUCCGUGGCACAUUUUGAACCUCCUCCACAUCAUCCAUAAAAAAUAGGGCUACGGAAAUAUUCGUCCCAAUUACGGUUUUCGUUUCUAUAGUCGUCGUCGACUUUAUGUGCAAGUCGCCCUCACCGUCGCUUCGAUUCAAAAAUGGUAUUACGCUAAGGCAUGGAAGCGACAUCGACAGUUUAAAAUAAAAGUUGGCAACAACUAAAAAAGGCGUUGGCAACAAUCCCUUGUUAUUGACAAAAUAAGAUAAAAAUUUGUUUUUAUUUUGAAUUCUAAUUUCGUCUCUUUCGGAAAAAUAAAAAAUAUAGUGAAACAAUGGAUAUUAUAAAUGCAUUACAUAGCUUAAGUUCAAGUGAGGAUGAAGUGGAGAAUGUAUUAGUAGAGCAGCGGCGAGUGCUAAGCCAGCAAACAAAUAUGUUUGCAUUGCCUGACUCUUGACUGUGUUGUUCCAAAAGUUUAUACUGCUCUUUCAAGAAUUCAAUAGUUUCUUCUUUCCUUGAUGAUUUUUUAUCAUUGUUUUUUUUUGGGCGAUCGAGAAUUUUGGAUAGUAGUUACAUCAGUCUCGUCAUCAGCAUUCUCCACUGGCUCAUUUUCAUGAUCUAUAACGUCUGUUACAAUUAUGUUUUCCGUAUUUUUUACUCCAAAUGCACGACCUGGUGCAUUCAGUAACUUUUGAAACUGCAUUACAUUCGCGAAGGACUUCUCCCAAAGCGACAAAGUCAUUUGCUUAAAAAUAUCACCUCCAGUGCUGCUGGCUUCACCCUUAUUGUGCACAAUUGUUUUUUAGUUUUACAUUUUUAAUUUUUCCAAACCUAGACGAACUUUAGAAAACUAACUAAUAAAAACAUACAAAAAUAAUUUUAACUUUAAUAUACUUCUUGCCAGUCUCUAAUCGGUGACCGUUUACAUUUAAUUUUGUAGCAAUGGAUUCCAAUCUAAUUUAAAAUUAGCUGGAAAAUUACCUUUGGUAAACCCUUUGGCAAACAUGGUUUUUUUUAUUCAAUUCGGAAACUAACAUUUCAAAUUGUUUUGCUGUUGUUAUUUUCUUGGUCAAAUAUCAAAUACAAAAAAGUUACAAUAUCAACGUCCACUAAAAAAUACAAUGUCGUUACAAUUUUUUACGGCGACAGAUUUUCUUAAAAAUCGACUUCACGUCGACUGUUGUAUCGACAGUUAUAAUAGCAAUCAUUUGUCGCUAUCGACAAAAAACGACAACCCUAAUAUCAUUAUUGUCGCUUCGACUUCAUUUUGCGACGCCGACGACAACCAUAAUAGGGCCGAUUCAUUUUUUUAUUUUUUAAGAACACAAAUAGUUUGAACACAAUCACUAGAAAUUUUAUUUUGUUUGUUUAUUUACAAUUUGUUUGUUUACAACUGAACUGUCAAUUGAGACAGAGCCACUGUUGCUUUUUUGCGUUUAAAUUAGACAUUUGGCGCUUUUUUUGCCUUAUUUCGCGAUUAAUUUUUUCAAAAAAUAUUUAGCAACACUGAAUCACGUAAGGCUAUGCGAAAGAAAGAACGAAAGUUAGUGGAACGCAUUCUUAUACGAAAGUGAGUGAGUAGCCUCCGUUCGCACAAAUUUUCUUUCGAGAUCGUGGAACAGGCUGUUAAAGAUUCCAUACUAAGGAAAAGGUGCUGCUUCUUUUUCUUCUGCCGUGUAUGUGCCAUUAUUAUUUCCGCUAUUGUUAUUACCAUGGUAGAAGAAUAUAGGUAGACGCUUCGACACAGCUGCUGGGACAAUGAACUGUCAAACCAAUUUUGGAAUCUAAAUUGUUGAAUGAAAAAUUACUCAAAUUUGUAAAUAUUGUUAAAAAAUGCAUAUUAUAACAACCUCCGAUUGGCGUCGUGUAGGAAAACAAAUACAAAUAUACUUAUUUUUGAGGAAAUAUUUAAAAAAUUUUGAUACAUCAAUACUCCCAAUCGUUGAUGCAUCUACCUGUAUUUUUCUACCAUGGUCAUUACUAACAACUGUAUCUGUUCCAGAACGGCACUUUAUGAGUGUUUAUUUAUCAUGUUUCUGUUGUAAUGUUGACAGUUAUCAAAGUUUCCUCUAUUCUCUCUUUUGACAUUUCCGAGGUUAUUUGUCUUUGGCAGUCAAAAGGAGAAGUCGAAAAACAGCGAAAUAAACGCGCGCUACUGUGUUCUAAAUAAAAUUGUUUUCUUUUGCGUUAACCGCAAGGCUCCUUCUUUGACAUUAAUACAGAACAAAUUCUUUAUUUCGCAUUUUGUUUGGUUUGUGACGCAAAAAAUUGUGUACUUUGCUGUGUGUGGAAAAAAUAUAAAGCAAGUUUGAGGUUGGGAAGAUGGCACCACCUGUUCGCCACCAACACUGAGAAGCACAUUCAGCGCAGACACUAUUACAUCAGAUCAGCCUGAUCAUGAAGCCCAAGUGGAUGUAAGUAGUGAAGUCUAUGGAAACACACAAGCAACGCCAAGAACGGAGACAAAUAACCAAACUAUGUCAUCUGCCGUACAUAGUGGAACAAAAAAGCCUGCAUCUAACAACAAUGUAAGUGAUAAUAAUGCCAUCACAGAAACGCCAAGGGGAACGUUUCAAGCCAAAAGAAGACAGUUUCCAAGCCAGGUAAUGCCAUGAAAGCUACAGAGCCAGGCGCAAGUAGCCAACAGAAGGAAGUGGAUAAUUUAGCUGACAUCAAAAAGCAAAUGGCAUAUCUAAAACGACAACUUUUGGAAACAAAAUCUCAACUAUCCGAGAGUCAACGCCAAUGCCAGCAGUUUGAGGUUAUGUCCCAAAAGCCAUCAGGAGAAACGGUAAGUGACCAUAACCUAAAUCCUAUCAACGUGUCCGCCAUUGAUUUAGCAAACACAACAACAACUAUGCCGCCAAUUAGGCAAGCCGCACAUACAUCGACAUCAACAGUCGCCAUUACAACGCAACCGCCACCCGCUGCCAAUGUCAACGUCGAACAAACUCCGACGCAAGCUGCAACAGAUAAUUUCUGCGCUUCUUUGCCGCCAGCAAUAAAUACAAAUUUAUCGCCAUGUUCUACAAAUAUUAACCUCAGCCAACAACAGUAUAGAAAUUUGUAUGGUACAGAAAAUGGAGUCCGUGAGGUCAUGGCUCAUCGGAAAAUUAUUGAUCUGUCUGAAUUCACCGUCGUUUCUUAAAUCUCAGCUUGCAAGAAAAAUGGAAACAAAUUAAACAAAUACGUGCCUGCUUUUCUUGUUUAAGUCGAUUUAAGCCGUAGUCGAUUAUGCCCUAUAGAAGGUUGCCAACGUAAGCAUAAUAAACUACUACAUGAGGGUGCCCCCUGCGUACCAGCUGUUAAUCCGUCGAAUCCUGAGCCAGAAUAUCAACAAAAUGUCCUCAGCUGUUCUUCUAAAGUUAAUAAAAAACUACUUUUUCGUGUAUUGCCAGUCACACCAUAUGGAAACAAUUGUCGUAUGGAUGUAUAUGCUCUCUUUGAUGAUGGAUCAUCUAUAAGCAUGAUGGUCAAGGACAUUGCUGAAAGAAUAGGAGUGCGAGGAAAUAGUUGCUCUUUAAAUAUUCAGUGGUUCGGAGGGAGGUCUGCUAGGGAACCUGUGACGUCAUUCAAUGUGAAGGUGAGUGGAGUGAACAAAAGGAGUUGCCACCUGAUGAAAAAUGUUUAUGCAGUAUCAAAUUUAAAUCUUCCAAUGCAAAGUUUGACACAAAAAGAGAUUGAAGCAGCAUUUAAAUCAAAUCCAAAUCCGCCAGUGAAGCCAUAUUCGAAUAUCGUGCCAAAAUUAUUAAUCGGUUUGGAUAAUGCCUUUUUAGGGUUGCCAACAUUUACUAAUUUUAAAGAUUUAUCGGGCCCAUUUGCUUGCAGCACUGAAUUGGGUUGGGUUGUUUUUGGACCCUGUAAAUCGAUAUCGCCAUCUAAAUCUUCGUGCCUUUUCGUAAAUGUGGAAGCAGAUCAACAUGUCCAUAAAAUUGUGGAAGAUUACUUUAACAUUGAAAACAUGGGUGUUCGAGCAGCCCCUUUAAUGGAAUCUGAAGAUGAUACAAGGGCAAAAGAAAUUCUUUCCGAGUCAACAAAAAGAGUUGGAAAUAGAUUUAAACGGAUUAUUAUGGAAAAAUGAGAAUGUGGAGUUGCCAGAUAGUAACACUAUGGCACUUAGGCGACUAGAAGGAGCCGAGAAGAAAUUGAAAAGGGACUAAAAUUUGUAUGCUGCUUAUACAGAAGUUAUAAAUGGAUAUAUAGCCAAGGGAUACAUAAGAGAAGUCCCACCCGAAAAUGUCGACCUGAUAUCAAACAGAAAAUGGUACUUGCCACAUUUUGGAGUUAUUAACCCGAACAAAGAAAACAAAAAGUUUAGAUUAGUUUUUGAUGCCGCCGCCAAGGUAAAUGGGACUUCAUUAAACGACAAUCUAUUAAAAGGUCCCCAAUAUAUUUCAUCAUUGCCUACAAUACUUUAUAAUUUUCGACGUGGGAAUAUUGCAGUGUGUGCUGAUAUUAAAGAAAUGUUCCAUCAAGUGAUAAUGCAGCCAAGUGACAGAAUAUCUCAAAGACUUUUGUGGAGAAAUUGUAACCCUGACGUGCCGCCUGUUGAAUAUGAGAUGACAGUCAUGACUUUUGGAGCCGCCUGCUCACCAUGUUCAGCCAUAUAUGUUAUGAAGAUUAAUGCUAAAGAACAUACUGACUGCCACCCCAGAUCAAUAGAAUCGAUUUGUGAACAUCACUACAUCAUAUGGACUGCAAAGAUUUUGUUAUAUAUCCAAAUAUUUUUCUCAUUUAAUUUUGAUAUGCAGCGUAAGAAUUGAAUUGUAUUUUUCAAAAUUGUUUUUUUUUUUAAUCAAACUUAGACUCGUCCGCAUAUAACUCAACUAAAGGCGUAAUAUGUACUACAAUAGCUUUUGCUGCUUCAAAUUCUAAUUGAUUGUGUAUUUCUAUAGACUCAUUCAUAGAAGCAACAACUUCAUCAUUAAAUAUAGCUAAUAUGUCUUCAAAUUUAAAUUUUUUAUAUGAAUAAGCAGAUUUUCUUUUAGGGUUUGCAGCAACGCUCGUAUGUGGUUGUACAUGUAUGAACCGAGCGUGUAUAUACCACACCUUGAGACUUGAGGCAACAAAAUAUUUUGAAAAAUUAUUGCGUGGCGUGAUAUACAACCAGUAGCAAUUUCUAUGAACUUUGAAAAUACACUUGAUGCUUUACGCAAUUUUCUGUGGUAAGAAAUGGCAUCGCAUAUGCUCAUAAAUGUAGUUGCCCCAAUUUCAUUCACUUCUUUAAAAAUCCGAACUACGAUAUUGUUCAUAAUAUUCUAAAGAUUUUGGCGUCGGUGUUUGUGCAACGCCGAUCAGUAGGGGUGGAUCCUUACUUAAAAGACGUUGUAAAAGAAAUACAUAUGCUGUGGCUUUACCAUUAUUAUGUAUAAUAUUUACCUCAUCGAACAACAAUGUACAAAUCGGGUAUUUUUUUAAAAUGUCUUUAAGAAUAUUUUUUGUUUGUAUGUCAAAACCCAUGUGACAUUUAGGGAAAAUGUUUUCUAUAACAUUUGAUGGCGGUAUCGACCAUUUUUGUAUGUUUCUUCGGUAGUAAUAAAAAUGAGAGUAUCCUAACACCAGUGUAAUUUGUUCCACGAGUAAUUGUGGGGCCGCGGAUGAACUAAAGCAUACAUUUUCAUCAUUCCCUGACAUUAAAAAUUCUCUAUUGGAAUCCUACAAUAACUCAUUUGAAGAAAUUUAAUUUUCAAAUGAAGCUUCUAAUUUAUCAUUUACAGAUUCUAUUGUUCGCAUACUAUGCAAAAUUCGUGCAGCUUCUUCUUCAUCUGCAAUAUUUCUGUUACUAUUAACUUCUAUUGGAGAAUUUACAGCCAGUUCCACGAUAUCGAAAUAACACGUUCGCACAACUUUUACACGACAAUCAGCUGAUUUCCGUUCCACUAAAAUCCAUCAGAACGAAAAUUUGCACGAAAAUCAAAGCGAACGAAAACGUAAGCGUUUCAGUGUAAUUUUGCGUUCCACUAUCUUUUUUCUUUCGUACGCAUGCGAACACAAAUGUCAAAAUCAAUCACUUGUGUGUUUGCUGUCGUAUGAUAACAAUUAAGGAAAAUUGUUUUAACAUAAACAUUGCUUGAUUUAAAAUGGAAACAAAAAUCACGAAAAAAUCAUCAACUACACAGCUGCGGUCACUAGUUGAGUAUAUGGAGGAGAAUCUGAGUUCGCCAGAGGAGUUCCAAUCUUUGGAAGCAGCAGAAGAAGUUUUAAAUCUGGGCGGAUUUGGGUAGUUCUGCAACCGGGCACCCACUUCUCUUCCAUCAUAUCCAAAAGAGCCCGAAAAACUUCCUUCGACACACGAAAAUUGGCCACAAACCUAGAAAAAAUCAUUUUUUAUUAUUUCGAAAAUGUAAAAAUACAAUAAUACUUACUGGUUGUUAGGUAUUUCAAAUAAAUUCGAAGCAUCUCUUAAAUGCCUCCGUGGCACAUUUUGAACCUCCUCCACAUCAUCCAUAAAAAAUAGGGCUACGGAAAUAUUCGUCCCAAUUACGGUUUUCGUUUCUAUAGUCGUCGUCGACUUUAUGUGCAAGUCGCCCUCACCGUCGCUUCGAUUCAAAAAUGGUAUUACGCUAAGGCAUGGAAGCGACAUCGACAGUUUAAAAUAAAAGUUGGCAACAACUAAAAAAGGCGUUGGCAACAAUCCCUUGUUAUUGACAAAAUAAGAUAAAAAUUUGUUUUUAUUUUGAAUUCUAAUUUCGUCUCUUUCGGAAAAAUAAAAAAUAUAGUGAAACAAUGGAUAUUAUAAAUGCAUUACAUAGCUUAAGUUCAAGUGAGGAUGAAGUGGAGAAUGUAUUAGUAGAGCAGCGGCGAGUGCUAAGCCAGCAAACAAAUAUGUUUGCAUUGCCUGACUCUUGACUGUGUUGUUCCAAAAGUUUAUACUGCUCUUUCAAGAAUUCAAUAGUUUCUUCUUUCCUUGAUGAUUUUUUAUCAUUGUUUUUUUUUGGGCGAUCGAGAAUUUUGGAUAGUAGUUACAUCAGUCUCGUCAUCAGCAUUCUCCACUGGCUCAUUUUCAUGAUCUAUAACGUCUGUUACAAUUAUGUUUUCCGUAUUUUUUACUCCAAAUGCACGACCUGGUGCAUUCAGUAACUUUUGAAACUGCAUUACAUUCGCGAAGGACUUCUCCCAAAGCGACAAAGUCAUUUGCUUAAAAAUAUCACCUC